rnacentral:rRNA from 1 species
CUGAAGCAACAAAUGCCCUGCUUCCAGGAAAAGCCUCUAAGCAUCAGGUAACAUCAAAUCGUACCCCAAACCGACACAGGUGGUCAGGUAGAGAAUACCAAGGCGCUUGAGAGAACUCGGGUGAAGGAACUAGGCAAAAUGGUGCCGUAACUUCGGGAGAAGGCACGCUGACACGUAGGUGAAGUGAUUUACUCAUGGAGCUGAAGUCAGUCGAAGAUACCAGCUGGCUGCAACUGUUUAUUAAAAACACAGCACUGUGCAAACACGAAAGUGGACGUAUACGGUGUGACGCCUGCCCGGUGCCGGAAGGUUAAUUGAUGGGGUCAGCGCAAGCGAAGCUCCUGAUCGAAGCCCCGGUAAACGGCGGCCGUAACUAUAACGGUCCUAAGGUAGCGAAAUUCCUUGUCGGGUAAGUUCCGACCUGCACGAAUGGCGUAAUGAUGGCCAGGCUGUCUCCACCCGAGACUCAGUGAAAUUGAACUCGCUGUGAAGAUGCAGUGUACCCGCGGCAAGACGGAAAGACCCCGUGAACCUUUACUAUAGCUUGACACUGAACAUUGAGCCUUGAUGUGUAGGAUAGGUGGGAGGCUUUGAAGUGUGGACGCCAGUCUGCAUGGAGCCGGCCUUGAAAUACCACCCUUUAAUGUUUGAUGUUCUAACGUGGACCCGUGAUCCGGGUUGCGGACAGUGUCUGGUGGGUAGUUUGACUGGGGCGGUCUCCUCCUAAAGAGUAACGGAGGAGCACGAAGGUUGGCUAAUCCUGGUCGGACAUCAGGAGGUUAGUGCAAUGGCAUAAGCCAGCUUGACUGCGAGCGUGACGGCGCGAGCAGGUGCGAAAGCAGGUCAUAGUGAUCCGGUGGUUCUGAAUGGAAGGGCCAUCGCUCAACGGAUAAAAGGUACUCCGGGGAUAACAGGCUGAUACCGCCCAAGAGUUCAUAUCGACGGCGGUGUUUGGCACCUCGAUGUCGGCUCAUCACAUCCUGGGGCUGAAGUAGGUCCCAAGGGUAUGGCUGUUCGCCAUUUAAAGUGGUACGCGAGCUGGGUUUAGAACGUCGUGAGACAGUUCGGUCCCUAUCUGCCGUGGGCGCUGGAGAACUGAGGGGGGCUGCUCCUAGUACGAGAGGACCGGAGUGGACGCAUCACUGGUGUUCGGGUUGUCAUGCCAAUGGCACUGCCCGGUAGCUAAAUGCGGAAGAGAUAAGUGCUGAAAGCAUCUAAGCACGAAACUUGCCCCGAGAUGAGUUCUCCCUGAGACUUUAGGUCUCCUGAAGGAACGUUGAAGACGACGACGUUGAUAGGCCGGGUGUGUAAGCGCAGCGAUGCGUUGAGCUAACCGGUACUAAUGAACCGUGAGGCUUAACCUU